AGGGCUGCAGUAUAUUGACUGUACAAAGGUAGCAUAAUCAUUAGUCAUUUAAUUGAUGACUUGUAUGAAGGAUUUGAUGAGAUAUAAACUGUCUCUUAUUUAAUUAUAAAAUUUAAUUUUUUUAUUAAAAAGUUAAAAUAUUUUAAAAAGACGAGAAGACCCUAUAGAGUUUAAUAAAUUAUUAGAUUGAGAUUAUAUGUAAAACAAAUUUAAAAUAAAAUUAUUUAUUUUGUUGGGGUGACAAAAAAAUACAUUAAACUUUUUUUAUUUUAAAAACAUUUAUAAGUGAUUAAAUGAUCCAAUAAUAUUGAUUAUAAGAAAAAAUUACCUUAGGGAUAACAGCGUAAUUUUUUUUUUUAGUUCAAAUAAGAAAAAGAGUUUGCGACCUCGAUGUUGGAUUAAGAUAAAAUUUAAA
rnacentral:rRNA from 1 species